rnacentral:lncRNA from 1 species
GCCCUCCCCCGCCAAGAGUGGGUGCAGAAUUUUUCCCUGCUCCGCGUCAAUGCUGGGUGUGGCCAUGAGCCCUGAAAUUACACAUGGAGCCCAGCCUCUGCUGAUCUGUACCCAUCAAGAAGAAAAAAUGUUGAUCUUUGUUGCUAAUAUAGACAGGCCCAAGGCAGGGGGCUGGCUCAGGGUUCCACAGUGGCAGAGGAAGAGCCUCCACAGAUCCCGCCUUGCCCUCUGUCGCCAGCUUCUCCUCUCUGCCUCCAUGAUCCGGAACCUUCAGCUGGUCAACUGAGCUACACCUGGUGCUGUGGUGCUUCCCCAAGCUGCACACGCCGAUGGCAGUGAGGAAUGACUGCGCCCAUUGUAUCACCUUCUCGCUGUCAGUGAGCCAGUGAGCACCUGCGGCUGCUUCAAGGGGAACUACAAUAAAACUUCCAAGACAGUCCACUUCUUAGGAGGUAUAAGCAAAGAGCAAACACAACCUGUCUGAAGAAACUGAGGCUCAAAGACCCACAGCGGGACGGAGGAGGUGGACCCGGCUCUGAUGCAGGUGGCUGGUUCGAUGGCAGACUCCCCUGUGCCGAGACUCCCAGACCAAAUCCGGAGGUCCUGGAG